AAAAGUGAACUCUCACUAGAGAGAAAAAUGUCAUCUCAAAGUAUUUUAUGUUAAUGACAAUGCAAAGCAAAGAAGUAUUAGUGCUCUCACUAAUACAUCCUUAGAAUCACAACAAACAAUGUCAAAGUUUUUGGAAGACUCUUAUAACAAUUUCCUCGACAUGUUUGAAAAUGAGUCCAAUAAAGAAAUUUGUCAAGAUCCACCAACCAAAACUCCUGCAAAUUUGAAAAGAGAAGUUGAGAAGUUUAUGAAAGAGUCUUAUGAUAACCUCAUAAAUCAAGGCUCACAACUUUUAAUAGGUAUUCUUCUUAUUUUGAUGAUUUAUUUAAAGUGUUUUUAGCCAGUUAAGUUCAUUAGAAACAUAAUUUUGUUUUACUAUAUAUAUAUUAUAUGUAAUAUUUUGAUAUCAUUAUGUAUUCUGAAAACCCACUAACAGAAACUCAGAAAAGAGAAGUUGAGAAGUUUCUGAAAGAGUCUUAUGAAAACCUCCUUAGUAAAGGUUCAAAAGUAUCAAAAGGUAUUUUCCUUAUUCAGUUAUUUGUUUAAAUUAUUUGUCAUUUAGGGUUUUUGCUUGCAAAAAAUCAGAGUAAUUUUCUAAAAAAUUUUUUCAAGAAAAAUGGAAGAUAAAAUUUCAAAUUAGAAACAUAAUUUAAUUUUAGGAAUAAUAACUUUAGCGGUAAUAAUAAUAAAUUUUCACAAAAUGUUACUGUUUAAUAAUCAUUAUUUUCAAAUUCAUGUAUCUGUGUAGCAAAAUUAAUUAUUUUGGUAGCUGUUAGUUGUUUUAGUAGUAUUUAUUAUUAGCUAGUUAAGUAACUUUUCAUAAAACGCUAAAUGUUAUAUGUUACGUGGGUUAGCUUUUUGUAAAACACUAGUUUAACCUCUAAAAACUAGUUUAAAUGCUAUGUUACCGAACAAUAUGAAAAAUAACAUUGUCAAAACACUAAAAUCUACUUAAAAAGCCAUUGUCGAACAUUACGUAAUAUUUUGAUAUCAUUUUGUAUUUUAAUGAUCCAACAACAAAAAGCCAGAGAGUAGAAGUUGAGAAAUUUCUAAAAAAGUCUUAUGAUAACCUUCUAAAUCAAGGUUCAAAAGUAUCAAAAGGUAUUCUCCUUAUUUGGUUAUUUAUUUAAAGUAUUUUUAGCUAUUUAGGGACUAUUUAAUUUUAAAAAUUGGAAUAAUUUUCUAGAAAGGUUUUCUAAGUAAAAUGAAAAAUAAAUUUCAAUUUAGAAACAUAAUUUUGUUCUCUAAUAAAAACUUUAGAAGUAAUAUUACCAAAACUUUACUGCUUUAUAUCCAUUAUUUUCAUAAUCAUGUAUAUAUAUGUAUAUGUAUAUUUGAUAUUAUUAUCUAUUGUGAAGACACAUGGACAAGUCAAAAUAGAGAAAUUGAGAAGUAUUUGAAAGAGUCUUAUCAUAAUCUCCUCAAUCAAUCCUCAAAAGUAUCAAAAGGUAUUCUUCUUAUUUAAUUAUUUGUUUAAAAUACUUUUAGCUAUUUAGAAAUUGUUUACUCGUAGAAAAUUGGAGCAAUUUUUUGGAAAGUUUUUCAUUAAAGCUGGA
rnacentral:lncRNA from 1 species